CAGGAGCUAGCCCGCCGCUGUCAGUAAGGCGGCCCGCGGAUUCUCCGAGCUGCCCGUGGGAAGCUGGCUACAUCAGCUCUCUCCCUUCUCACCUCUGCUACAUAGACUGCCCCUCCCCGAAGACUGGGAUUAGAGUGACUGGUGAUCCUUGGUGAUCCGGUGAUCAUGAGAGACCUCUCUGUGCCCCAUGGGUGGACAGGAACUUUCCUCCCGAAUUACGCCCCUCCCCCCUUAGUUGCUGGAGUAAUCACUGCGGAAAUGAAUGCCAAUCCCUUACACACCUCCUUUGGUAUGGAAGGUCCACCUGAGCAGGGGCGCAGGGUGGAGAAGUCCGCAUCCUACCAGCACCAAGGGGUGCGCCAUAGGUUCCUGUCUGGCUUAAGGUUAUGUCGCCACCAUCUUGAAAAUCCUAAUUCUUAACCCGGCCUAUUCUUUUUGCACUGGGUCUUGAAAAUUAUGUAAUGGUAAUAACUAGUGGGCCUGUCCACAGUGCCGUCUCAAGGGAUAGAGAACAGGUGGGACUGUGGAUUUUCGAACCUGUGCCCGGUCGGUCGGUCGUAGGCUAGCAAGGGUCCUGGGCCCUCUACAGGCUGGUUUUGUAGCUGCAGGCGCCUUUGCUCUUUCCAGUUCUGCGGUUCUGACUUAGGCCUAGCUCACAUUCCCGCCUCCCCCUGCCCCCCUUAAAUUACAGGUUUGAUUGAUUUAGUGGCAGCCACCAGCAAGCAACUAUGGGAAUAGAGUCACUGCACCAAAUUCAAAAAUUCUGUAUUUUGGGUCUCAACAAACCACUGGUAGAAAUAUUGGGGGAGGGGCAUGUCUAUAGUGAACAUGUACACACUCUUUCUCCUUACUUAUUAAAUAAUACUGGAUAGCAAUGAUUCAUAUACACUUUCACAGUACCGGUGUUUAAUAUAGGCGGGGUUAAAAUGCAUAGGUUCUCUCUGCACACAAGCUACCUUAUAAAAGGGAUGAGAACCCUCAGGUUAGAGUAUUGGGAGCAAUAAUGUAUGUAUAGAAUGUGUGGGGAUUCUGAAACCAGACCUGGAAUUGUCUAUAAAUUCGCCUACAUUUUAAUCUCCAGGGUUCUUUCCCGGCUAGUGAUGGGUCUCCCCCUAGUGUCUGGCUGGGGAAUCCUCACUUUCACUUUUCCUCUCGAAGGUAAAUUUAGGCAAUGGCUAAAAGUCCAGUGACCAGGGAAUCCCCAGCCUUCCCUGCUCCACAGCCUCUCUCCCCACCCCCACCCCCGCACCCCUCCCCCAAGUGGUGGUAAUCAGAAUCCUGCUCCUUUCAAGUGGGUGGCAGAGGAAAAGUUCCUGGUCUCUGGGCCUCGUUUUAUUCACUGGUUUCUGGGGAGUGGAAAGAAGGACUCCAAACUGAUAAAGUUAUGAUAAGGCGGUGGGCACAGAGGCCACCACUCUGCCCCUCCACCCUUCCUCUUGCUCUCUUUACAUCCGUGCUCCAAGCUUUGGAGGCCAGCCAACCCUAGAGGGCUUUUAAAAUCACAGCUUGCUGGCAAGUUCCUGUGUCAGUAAGUCUGGGCUAGGAUGCUAGACUUGUAUUUCUAGCAUGUUCCCAUAGUAGCAUUUGUGCUGAUGGUCCACUGUGAGAACUAUUGCUCUAGAGCCAUAGCAGAGUGGAGGGAAAGGACCUGCCUGUUCCAGAGCUGGGUUCCUUGUAACUGAGAGAGCCCAGCAGGAACUCUUCCUUGGCACUUUCUCCCAAAGUGUGAUGGGGGAAGUGCAGCCUGGCUUUAUACUCUUUUCCUCCUCCUCUCUAGGGUAUCUGCAAGCAGCUCUCUGGCUUCUUGCAGAAACCUGUAUUGCAUGUAAAAGUUUGCUUUGUUUCUACCCUGUGUCUAUUCAUCUUCACAAGGUUGGAAACUUGUACCUCUCAGGGGUGCCAUCUUUUGGGUACGACCGGGGACAGAGACCAGCUUGAGUGUGGGGUGAUGGUUUGGUGUGUAAGUAACAGGAUUCUGGUAACACACAGCCCUGGGAGGCCAGUUCUGAGACACUAUUUAUGAAUAAUAGCCAACAGCCAUCAUCUCUGUCCUUCCCUCGCCCAAGCAUUCCAAGGGUCUGUCGUUUGUGGCUGACUUCGAUUCCCUGGCUGAGAAGGCUCCUGUGAGGACACCAGUGUCAACUGUCAUAGACUGAGGCUGGCUGGGACAGUUAGGUGUGCAGCAUCCCCAGCAUGGGGCUACAUAGAAGACACUCUGGUUUGGUUUUCCUGUGGCUCUGAUUUGAUGGAGCAGUGAUGGCUGCUUCCAGAGCUGAUGGGGAAAUGACAUGGAGCCAGAGCUCCUGGGAUGAACACAGAUGAUGUGGAUGGAGAUAGUAUAAUGCCAUGUCAUGUGACCCACCCAAAACUUUCUCAACUUUAUCUUAAGAUCCAUCUCUCUGAGACAAAAAAAAAAGUUCAGGGUGGGGGAGUAACUAUCCCCCAACCUCAAUAGGUAUGGGACUCACCUCUUUAAUCUUUUCCAAUCCAGUCCCCUCCCAUGUCCCAUGAUAGAACAUCUCCUUCUCCUUCCAAUACACACACACACACACACACACACACACACACACACACACACUCCUCCUCCAGGGAAGAAGUGGGGAAAAAAAUCACCAAAUCACUCAAACCCCUGUAGUUCAGGUAGAGAGACAUCACCUGGGGUGAUGGGUGCCGGGCCAGCGGCAUCUUUGACUUUGUCCUUGGUCACCAGGCUUCGAGGUCUCACCACAUCUGCUGGAACAUCUACUGGGAGGUUUUGUUUUGCUUGUUUUGCUUUGCUCCUUAGCAGAUCAUCUUGGCUCAGUGUGGGGUGGGUCACUUUUCCCAGCUGUGACUCAUUCCAGGAGAGAGGACAUGUUGCUUUUAUUUGUGACCAAGGGGAAGGAGUAUGGUCAAGGCUGCUUCAGAGGUGGUCCGAUAACAUGUUAUUUCCCCUGUUGGGUGAGUUAUUUCAAGACUGUCCCCCAACCUCUCCCCUAACCUCUCCCCCAACCCCAGCCCCUAGCAAGAAAGAGAAGGAGAAGACAGACAUAGCCUGAUUUUCCAAGGGGGAAAGCAAGCUUUGCUUUUAUCUGACUCUGAAGCAUUUGAAGCUGCUUAAAGUCUCUGAAGGUUUUCGGAAGCUCUGGGGAUAUUGGUAGUCACACAUAGGAUUACUAUGUCAGUCAGGAUAAGUGAUGUUGCAAAUGCAGCCCCAUAUCUCAGUGCAUCAGACAACAGAGACCUCUUUCUCACUUAUGCCCCAUGUACAGGACGACAAGCACUCGCAAGAGUCUCUCAGGACUCCUGCAGAUCCCAGACACCAUAUCUAAUACGGCCAGUCACUGUGCCAGGAGGAAAUGGAGAAAUCCCUGCUGAUCCUCACUGGAGCUUAAAAAUCUUGGUCGCUUCCAUUCACAGGUCACAGACCAUCCUACACAGGGAGAGCCGGCAGCAACUCCUCACUGUGAGCUCAGAGUCGGAGAAGAGCCGGGGUGGGGUAGCUGACCAUCGGCACUGAUAGCCUCUGCAGUCCUCAGGGACACAGAGCGGUUAUUAAUUUCUUAAGCCAGGUACUCCUCUAAGAUCCACUGCGUAUUAGGUGCUUGUUCAGGCACUGGAGGUCUGGCAGAGACACACAGUCAUCAAGCUUGCUCUCUAGUGGGAGAGGCACACAAUAAGCCAUAGGUGGGAUGCCUGUAUACCAGGACUUGAGUGGUUUUGAAAACAAAUGCAGCAUUUUUAGGAGACAGACGGUGAGGCGGUUUUGUAUCAGAUUAGCCCACUGGGUCUCAACCCUCCUAAUGCUGAGACCCCUUCAUACAGUUCUUCAUGCUGUGGUGAUCCCCAGACACAAAAUUAUCCUUGUUGCUAUGUCAUAACCGUAAUUUGCUACUGUCAUAGAUCAUAAUGUAAACACUUACAUUUUCCCAGUGGUCUUUGGGGGUCACGACCCACAGGUUGAGAACUACUGGAUUAGACAGCCAGGCUCUUUCCUAGAUUUAUCUAAACAGAGUUAAAUGGAGAAAAGCCCGUGUCUGUGAGCAAUAAUGUUCCAGGCAGCAGAUGCGCCAGUCUCUAAGCAUUCCCCAAAUCUAUGAAUACAAAUGUGCCCAAACAUUCUCACACCCUACCAGCAUGAUGUCUGACGACUGGCUUAUAUUUUAUAAGAGAUUUUGAUUAAUAUGACACAUGAAGCACAGAAAAUGGGUCUGAAGCCGUGGAAGGUAAGACUGUGUGAUCCUUGUACAAAAUUUGAGGGAGAUGCCUAAGGCCUUCUUCUUCCUGCUUAGGCUACGCACUACACAGAAGGCUCAGUCUCCACGAGAAGGGGGGUCUCUUGCAACUUUCAGUGGCAGGUGUGUGUGUGUGGGGGGGUGACACCUCACAUUGCUAGAGAACAGUAAAUCUGUGAGGGUCUCUGGUAAAAUGCAAAAUGGCCAGCGUCCCUACUUUAUAGAUUAGAAACCAGAGGCACGGGAUCAUGUGACUGACACAGAGCUCCUAGCCUGGAUUCCAGACCAUUCAAACCUAUGUAUUGGUCUUUGCACUGCCUGCUGGGAUGGGAAGGGCUGGUGAAUAAAACUGGUGUGAAUACAAGUGCACAGUGAAGAGUCAGAAUCCGUAUCCAGUGUUCUUCCCAUAUGACUCUAUUUCCUUGGUGAGGUCCAGGUGUCAGGUCCUGCACCCCAGGGUCAUCCCAGGGUCACCCAUCACUCUUAUCUGUAUCCCUACUAUCUCCACCCUCCUAAUGGGAGUUGCAGGUGACCUUUGAUUUGCCCCCUCCCUUGGGUCUUGUUGCUCUUUCUGACCCUCUUCUCUCUGCAGGGCAAAUAGGAGGUGCUGGGUCCAAUAGAAUGAGCACAGUUGUAGGCUCAUAACCAACGUCUGGUCCAAGGCAUGUUUUCUAAGCCACGAAAUGAUGCUCUAGGGAUAUCGGAAGGAAGGCACCCUGAGACCUUCAGGGCUAUGGGUAAAGAGGAGGGGACUUAGCAGUAUGAGCAAAUCCUUCACGGCGCUGAGCACUGCGGUGAAUUUGCUGCAUCCAGAUGCUUCGGAUGGGCCAGAGAGGGGGCCUGGAUAAGCGCCAUUGUGCAUUCUCAGGCAUGACUUUAAAAAGUUCUCUGCUUAUUUUGUGUAUGAGCAGAGGUCACAGGACAGUUUGUAGUGGUGCAGGAUGGGUUCUCCUCUUCCAUCAACCCUGUCACCAAAUGCUUCUGCUCCCCAGGGAGUUUUCUCUGCCCUUGACAGUACUUAGGGACAAAAGUGUGUGUGUGUGUGUGUGUGUGUGUGUGUGUGUGUGUGUGCGUGCUCUGAAAAGUGUUGUUAGGCUGGGGCAGCAGGUUCAUGGUGACUCCUCCAUCUGCGUAUUGUCAGAUAGGCAGUCUUUCCACCCCAGGCAGCAGCCAGGCUUGUGAUGGGCUGGCUUGUGUGCACACACACACUUUUUCCCCUGCCCUGGAAAAAGUCAGAUAUUCCAGACAUACUCGUCAGCAGCUUUUAUCCUUCAGCCAAAGGGGAGACUGCAAGCCACAGGCACUUAUAUUCCAGGCUCUGGGGCCUGGUAUGGUGGCAGCUAGCCUCAGCCUGGGGUUAGGGCAGAUUAACAAGCAUGGAGGGGCUUGGAUGACAUCAUGGGCUGUCUUUACCCGACCUCAGCCCCACUCUGCCCACCGCUGCCACUUUUUCUAUCUCUGAUGCCCUCAUUUCUGUCCCCCUCAGUGUUUCUCCCUCUCUUUCUCUCUGGCCACUCUCGUUCCUCUCCAUCUCUCACCCUCCUUCCCUCCCUUCUUCCUCUUUCCUUCCCCCUCCCUCCCUCUGGUGAGGGAGGUAUGGAAAAACCAAGGCUCUAAAAGGCAGUUGUUCUGACUUGUCAGCCUAGGAGCAUCAAGUACCUUUGGGUCACCCUGAUCCAAACCUUAGCCUUUCACGAGGGUUGCCCACUGUGGUGGUUUGAGUGAGAAUGGCCGCCAGAGGCUCCUAUGUUUGUUGGGAAGAAUUGGGAGGUGUAGCCUAGUUGGAGGAGGUGUAUCACUGGGGAUGGGGUGGGCUUGGAGGUCUCAAAAGCCCAUACCAGACCCAAUAUGUCUGUCUGUCUGUCUGUCUCCUCUUCUAUCCCUGUCCUUCUUCAGCAUUAUGCUUGUCACCAUGCUCCCCACUACGAUGAUAACGGACUAACCCUCUGAAACUGCAAGCAAGUCCCUCAACUAAAUGCUUCCCUUUAAGGGUUGCCUUGGUUAUGGUGUCUCUUCACAACAGUAGGACAACUAAGACACCCACUCAGAAUCCUUCCUGCCUGGUGACAUGAUGAAGUGCAUCUUGUCCAAACAACACUGAAUCUUCUGGAUACUGUGGGCAGAAAGCAGACAACUCAAACACCACAGCAGCCACAGGGAAAAAUACACCUACACAGUACAGAAAUCACAUGACCACUACCUGUGGUGUGUACCCAGGAAGGACUCAGCAUGGUUGAUGGUGUGUUCUAACACAAAAUGUCCAACAGUCUGAGGAGCCCCCAAAGAUGCUGCUGGGAAAGAAGAAGCCAAGUGACAACAGAAUGUUCUAUGAACCUGAGGGUGGGGCAGUGGACUGGGAGCUUUCCUAAGCCAGAGGAAUGAAGACAAGGGGUGUGUGGGGUGAGGGCGGAGGGAAUAGCUUAAUAAACUCAUGGAACAGGACUACCACACACAAAAUGUAGUCUUGGACUGGUUUCCAGUUUGGACAAAACAAACUAUAAAAAGGAAUUGUGGGACAAUUUGUGACAGAAAAUUUCCAACCAUGGUACAGAGGAGAUGUGAACGUACUGAGGGAAGAGAGCUCACCUGCUUAAUGGGAAGAGCAGGUUAUAAAACGCUAAGGGACAGAAUGUGGGUGACAGUUUACAAAGCACACGCACAAGAACACAUGCACACACAUGUACUGAGGGAAGAGAGCUCACUUGCUGAGGAAAGCAGGUUAUAACAUGCUUAGGGACAGAAUGCAGGUGACAGUUUACACACACACACACACACACACACACACACACACACACACACACACACACACGACAGACAAAGAAGGGGACCAAUGCUAUGUGACUACUCGUGUCUGGGUGGGAGGUCCUUCUCCACUUCCUGACUUUCUCCACCAGCAUGUAGCCUUUUUAAUUACUCCCUCUCUGUUUUUAUUUUAAAUUUUUAUACAAUAUAUUUUGAUCAUGCUUUUCCCCUCUCCCAUCCCAGGCCCUCCCUGUAUCCCUACCCACCCAACUUUCUGUUUUCUCCUUCUUUAAAAACAAACACACAAAAAUCUCAAUAGGACAAAUAUCAAAACAAAAUAAAAGAGAGUCUUGCCUCCUUUCCCCCAAGAACCCAACAACCAUGGACUUCAUUUUAUGUUGGUCAGCUCCUCCUGGCCAUGGGGUCUUCUGUAGAGUGGUCGUUACUCCCAGUGGUACUCUGCUGGGUGGAACUGAUUUUCUCUGUGCCAGAGGGUAUCAACUGCAAAUAGCUUUUUGUUUAGGGGUAGGGCCUGCUGUCCACUUUCCCCUCGCAGACAUAACCAUAUUUUCUUUCUUUCUUCCUUCCUCUCUCUCUCUUUCUUCCUUCCUUUCUUUUUUCUUUCUCUCUUUCUUUGAUACGUCUCUCUAUGUAUCCUUAUAUCCUGGAACUUGCUCACUAUGCAGGCCAAGCUGCUCUCAAAGAUGCUCAUGCCUCUGUCUCCUGAGAGUUAGGAUGAAAGGCAUAUGUCAGCAUAGUCUUCACAUGAUAACAAUUAAAGAAAGAAUCCUGUAUCUUUUUGCUUGGAAGUGCAGGAUCAGAGAAGGAUGGAAGAGGUGAACAGAGAGUCUCGGAGUCCACCAGAGCCUCUAUGAAGGCAGGAACUCUGCAUUGCUUUACCCGCCAGAAAGCUCUGGGGGGUUCAUAGCAG